rnacentral:rRNA from 1 species
AUUGAACGCUGGCGGCAGGCCUAACACAUGCAAGUCGAACGGUAGCACAGGAGAGCUUGCUCUCUGGGUGACGAGUGGCGGACGGGUGAGUAAUGCAUGGGGAGCUGCCCAAUCGAGGGGGAUACCAGCUGGAAACGGCUGCUAAUACCGCAUACGCCCUGAGGGGAAAAGGUGGGGACCUUCGGGCCUACCGCGAUUGGAUGCACCCAUGUGGGAUUAGCUAGUUGGUGAGGUAACGGCUCACCAAGGCGACGAUCUCUAGCUGGUCUGAGAGGAUGACCAGCCACACUGGAACUGAGACACGGUCCAGACUCCUACGGGAGGCAGCAGUGGGGAAUAUUGCACAAUGGGGGGAAACCCUGAUGCAGCCAUGCCGCGUGUGUGAAGAAGGCC